rnacentral:rRNA from 1 species
GACGAACGCUGGCGGCGUGCUUAACACAUGCAAGUCGAACGGAAAGGCCUGCUUUCCCUUGUGGAUUGCGGGUACUCGAGUGGCGAACGGGUGAGUAACACGUGAGUGAUCUGCCCCCAACUUGGGUAUAAGCCUGGGAAACUGGGUCUAAUUCCCGAUAGGACUGCAGGGUGGUGCCUGUGGUGGAAAACGAUUUUCUAGUGGUUGGGGAUGAGCUCGCGGCCUAUCAGCUUGUUGGUGGGGUAAUGGCCUACCAAGGCGGCGACGGGUAGCCGGCCUGGGAGGGUGGACGGCCACAUUGGGACUGAGACACGGCCCAGACGACUACGGGAGGCAGCAGUGGGGAAUAAUGCACAAUGGGCGGAAGCCUGAUGCAGCGACGCCGCGUGAGGGAUGACGGCCGUCGGGUUGUGAACUCCUUUCGACCGCGAGGAAGCCACCUGGUUGGAAGGGUGGUGACGGUAGUGGUAGAAGAAGCACCGGCUAACUACGUG